UAGUCAUAUGCUUGUUUCAAGGACUUAGCCAUGCAUGCCUCAGAAUCACUGCAUUGCAGGAAUCUGCGCAUGGCUCAUUACAUCAGACGUAAUCUGCCGCCAAAAUCUUGCGGUCUCCGCAUUAUUGGAUAACUUGGCGAAACGCCAAGCUAAUACAUGAACCAAAGGGACGCUCCCUGCUACGGCCGCGGGGUGACUCGCGGUCACGGGACGUCCUGCGAAUGAAUGAAAUUAAGACCAACGCCCCCACCCGGGGGCAGUAACACCCAGACGUGUUGACUCAAUUCAUUCCGUGCGAAAGCCGGCCCUUCUUGGUGCCGGCGUGUGCUGACGAACAACUGCCCUAUCAGCCAGUGAUGGCCGUGUAGUGGACUGCCAUGGCGUUGACGGGAGCGGGGGAUUAGGGUUCGAUUCCGGAGAGGGAGCCUGAGAAAUAGCUACCACUUCUACGGAGGGCAGCAGGCGCGCAAAUUGCCCAAUGUCGAAAAAAAACGAUGAGGCAGCGAAAAGAAAUAGAGCCGACCGUGCCUUUUGUGCACGGUCGUUUUCAAUGGGGGAUAUUUAAACCCAUCCAACAUCGAGUAACCAUUGGAGGACAAGUCUGGUGCCAGCACCCGCGGUAAUUCCAGCUCCAAAAGCGUAUAUUA
rnacentral:rRNA from 1 species